GAUGAACGCUAGCGGCAGGCUUAACACAUGCAAGUCGAGGGGUAGAAGGAGCUUGCUCCUUUGAGACCGGCGCACGGGUGCGUAACGCGUAUGCAAUCUACCUUGUACAGGGGGAUAGCCCAGAGAAAUUUGGAUUAAUACCCCAUAGUGUAACGAAAAGGCAUCUUUUUGUUACUAAAGUUCCAACGGUACAAGAUGAGCAUGCGUCCCAUUAGCUAGUUGGUGUGGUAACGGCGCACCAAGGCAACGAUGGGUAGGGGUCCUGAGAGGGAGAUCCCCCACACUGGGACUGAGACACGGACCAGACUCCUACGGGAGGCAGCAGUGAGGAAUAUUGGUCAAUGGGCGCAAGCCUGAACCAGCCAUGCCGCGUGCAGGAUGACGGUCCUAUGGAUUGUAAACUGCUUUUGUACAGGAAGAAACACUCCCUCGUGAGGGAACUUGACGGUACUGUAAGAAUAAGGAUCGGCUAACUCCGUGCCAGCAGCCGCCGUAACAC
rnacentral:rRNA from 1 species